rnacentral:rRNA from 1 species
CGAGUGGCGAACGGGUGAGUAACACGUGAGUAACCUGCCCUUGACUUUGGGAUAACUUCAGGAAACUGGGGCUAAUACCGGAUAGGAGCUCCUGCUGCAUGGUGGGGGUUGGAAAGUUUCGGCGGUUGGGGAUGGACUCGCGGCUUAUCAGCUUGUUGGUGGGGUAGUGGCUUACCAAGGCUUUGACGGGUAGCCGGCCUGAGAGAGUGACCGGCCACAUUGGGACUGAGAUACGGCCCAG